GUGCGUAACGCGUAUACAAUCUGCCUUUCACUGGGGGAUAGCCCGAAGAAAUUUGGAUUAAUACCCCAUAGUAUAGUAGUGUGGCAUCACACAACUAUUAAAGCUACGGUGGUGAAAGAUGAGUAUGCGUUCUAUUAGCUAGUUGGAGAGGUAACGGCUCCCCAAGGCGAUGAUAGAUAGGGGUUCUGAGAGGGAUGUCCCCCACACUGGUACUGAGAUACGGACCAGACUCCUACGGGAGGCAGCAGUGAGGAAUAUUGGACAAUGGUCGGAAGACUGAUCCAGCCAUGCCGCGUGCAGGAUGACGGCCUUAUGGGUUGUAAACUGCU
rnacentral:rRNA from 1 species